rnacentral:snoRNA from 1 species
AACCCAUGGUGAGGGCACCUUCACAAAAGCUCCUUGUAUCUCUCCCAUUCAUCAUAGAGUGUUUCUAGAUCCAUCUGCAUAAAAGAGGAGAUAUCAUUACGUAAUUU